GGGAAGGUAGCUCAGUGGUAGAGUGCUUGCCUUGCAUGCAUGAGGCCCUGGGUUCGAUUCUCCUCAUUACA
rnacentral:tRNA from 1 species